GUCCACAUCUGUUGUUUAUGAAGCAUGUAACGAAUAAGAUUUGAUUUGUUGGAUUUUUGUAUUAAAUUUUAACUUAACUUCUUAUGGCUGGGGGCAGUAUUGAGUAGUUUGGAUUAAUAAGGUGCCCAGAGUAAACUACCUGCUACACAGUCCCAGAAGCUAAGAUAUGCAUAUUAUCAGUAUAUUUGGAUAGAAAACACUCUGAAGUUUCUAAAACUGUUUGAAUGAUGUCUGUGAGUAUAACAGAACUCAUAUGGCAGGCAAGAAUCUGAGAAAAAAUCCAACCAGGAAGUGGGAAAUCUGAGGUUUGUAGGUUUUCAACUCUUUGCCUAUCAAAUACACAGUGGGAUAUUGGUCAUAUUGCACUUUCUAAGGCUUCCACUAGAUGUCAACAGUCUUUAGAACCUUGUUUGAUGCUUCUACUGUGAAGUGGGGGCGAAUGAGAGGGGAAUGAGUCAGGGCUCUGGCAGAGUGCCAUGAGCUGACCUCGCUCGUUCACGUGAGAGCGAGCUCUGUUCCAUUGCAUUUCUACAGACAAAUGAAUUCUCCGGUUGGAACAUUAUUGAAGAUUUAUGUUAAAAACAUCCUAAAGAUUGAUUCUAUACAUUGUUUGACAUGUUUCUACGGAUUGUAACGGAUCUUUUUGACUUUUCGUCUGCUCCUAAUGAACGUGCAUCAUGAAUUUGGAUUUGUGAACUGAACGCGCUAACAAAAGGAAAUAUUUGGACAUAAAUUAUGGACAUUAUCGAACUAAACAAACAUUUAUUGUGGAACUGGGAUUCCUGGGAGUGCAUUCUGAUGAAGAUCAUCAAAUGUAGGUGAAUAUUUAUAAUGCUAUUUCUGACUUCUGUUGACUCCAACAUGGCGGAUAUCUGUUUGGGUUGUUUUGGUCUCUGAGCGCCGUACUCAGAUUAUUGCAUGGUGUGCUUUUUCCGUAAAGUUUUUUUGAAAUCUGACGCAGCGGUUGCAUUAAGGAGAAGUGUAUCUAUAAUUCCAUGCAUGAUAGUUGUAUCUUUUAUCAAUGUUUAUUAUGAGUAUUUCUGUAAAUUGACUUGAUGUGGCUCUCUGCAAAAUCACUGGAUGCUUUGGAACUACUGAAUGUAACGCGUCAAUGUAAACUGAGAUUUUUUAAAUAUAAAUAUGAACUUUAUCGAACAAAACAUACAUGUAUUAUGUAACAUGAAGUCCUAUGAGUGUCAUCUGAUGAAGAUCAUCAAAGGUUAGUGAUUAAUUUUAUCUAUAUUUGUGCUUUUUGUGACUCCUCUCUUUGGCUGGAAAAAUGGCUGUUUUUCUAUGACUUGGCUCUGACCUAACAUAAUCGUUUGGUUUCCUUUCGCUGUAAAGCCUUUUUGAAAUCAGACACUGUGGUGGGAUUAACAACAAGUGUAUCUUUACAAUGGUGUAAAAUACUUCUAUGUUUGAGGAAUUUUAAUUAUGGGAUUUCGGUUGUUUUGAAUUUGGCUCCCUGCACUUUCACUGGCUGUUGAUGAUAUGGUGGCCUUGGACAAUUACAGUAUAUCUGUCUGGUUGGAACAAAGCAGGUACAGUAAUGGUCGUUAGCUACUAAAUAAACAUAUUUUGCUAAUAUAUUCAGUAUUUAUGUUUCAUUAUCCAACGCCCUAGUUACCCUAUAGCUACAACAUAAAUCAUUUGAAAGAGAGGUAACAAAGCAAAGAUAUGACCAUUUUUGUUUUGUUUUCUAUAAUGAAAAUUGCAUAUUUGGAAUAGAGGGGGUUGAGGAAGCAUUGAUUAUUUCUACAGCUGUGCUAUUUUUGGUGGUUCUUGAGGCUCUGAUGUGUUCACCAUUCUGUUCUGAGAAAAUAGAUCAAUACCCACUGGCUACAGGUCAUUUAUAAGUCUUUGCUAGGUAAAGCCCCGUCUUAUCUCAGCUCAGCUCACUGGUCACCAUAGUAGCACCCACCCGUAGCACGCUCUCCCUCACUGGUCACCCCCAAAGCCAAUUCCUCAUUUGGCCACCUUUCCUUACAGUUGUCUGCUGCCAAUGACUGGAACUAACUGCAAAAAUCACUGAAGCUGGAGAUUCAUAUCUCCCUCACUAACUUUAAUGAUGAAGUUAAUAAUUUGCAUAUACUGUAUAUAGACUUUUCUAUUGUAUUAUUGACUGUAUGUUUGUUAAUU
ensembl:lncRNA